GCCCACGUAGCUCAGUUGGUAGAGCACCUCCUUGGUAAGGAGGAGGUCACCGGGUCGAGCCCGGUCGUGGGCU
rnacentral:tRNA from 1 species